rnacentral:lncRNA from 1 species
UCUCUCUCUCCUUUCCUCUCUGUCUGUCUGUCUCCCUCUCUCCCUCCCUCUCUUCCCUCUUCCCCCCAUGAUGGGGCCUCACCUCAAGCCCCACAGGUUGAGACCAAGUAGCUGUGGACUAAAACUUCUGAAACUGUGAGCCAAAAUAAGUGUUUCCACCUUUUAAAUUGUUUUCUCUGAUAUUUUGCCUCAUCUACCAAAAAGCUGAUUAACAUAGGAAAUUGGUUUUGAGAAGUAAAGUUGUUGCUUUGAUUGUACCCAACCAUGUGGUUCAGAAGCCUUUGGAAUUGGUUUGUGGGAGGAGUUUGGAAGGGUUUGGAAAUGCAGUCUAGAAAAGCCUAGAAUGUUGUAAGUGGAGCUUAAUGGGUAAUUAUGGUGUGAGCUUGGAAGACCAGAAUGCUGAUAGGAAUGCAGACAAUGAAGAUUGUGCUCAUGAGGUUUUAGAAGAGAAUGAGGACUCUAUUUGGAAUUGGAGUAGAGGAUUCAUGUUAUAUACUGUCAAAGUGUUUGUCUGUAUUUUGCCCAUGCCCUGAAACUUUGAGUGGGACUUAGAUUAAUGGUGAUGGACUUGUUUAUCUGGAAAAGGCGAUUUCAAGGUUGCUUUCAGAUUUGCAGUAAGAAUCUGGAACAAAAAGCAGUUUGACCAGAAAAAUAAGCCCAUGUAAAGUUGGGGCCAGGGAAGGUGUGGUUGCUGAAGAGAUUAACACAAUUAAAAAGAAGCCAAGUACUUUGCACUGGGAAAAUAGAAUAAGAUGCCUUGAGGGCACCUCAGGAAUUGACCUAGACCCCCCACUUCACAGGAUCAAGGACAUAAAGGUGUAAACUUGUUUGAAAGACUUUAUUUGUGGAGUUGGAGGAGAUUGCUGCUCACACAAGUUUGUCUAGGGAAUUGGUCCCCUGGAAUUCACUCCCCCGUGCUCAUAUGUCCAGGUACUCAGAGGCUGCUUGCAGUUGUGGUUUAGGUAGACUCAGCUACUGCUCAAAUCAGUGGCAGACCUUGACCUUGUCCACAUGAUGCUGAUUUUAUAGGCAAGAAUUAUAGGAUCACCAAACUUGAAGCCACAAUCACUCCUUAAUUCUUCCUUUCUCUGGACCCUUCAUAAUCACUCAGUAAGCAACGAAAGCCCUACCCAUUCUACUUUCACAUUCUCAUAUCCCUCUUUCCUUUUCAGUCUUCACUUCUAUUUUCCUGGUUGAAACAUCUUCUUACUAAACUCUUAACAGUAACCUGCUGAUGGGCUUUCCUACAUCCAUCCCCCAACAAUCCAUUUUCCAUAUCUACUAUUGGAAAUAUUUUUCUGAAGUUCAUAUUUGAUCAUGUCACAUCUAGCAUUUCUUUCUAAUCACAUAAAGUUUGUAGCAGUACAAUUAAGAUCUUUAGUGAUCUGGCCUUGCCCAUUCUUUCCUGCUACAGCUUCUAUUCCUCCUUCCCACAUAGAUCUUCUUGAGUCUCAGCAGCCUGUUAGACAUGCCCUAAGAUGCCACACAUUCCUGUGCCUUCUAUGUUUCUGCUCAUCUGUUUGUUUUUCCCCAUACCCAUCCUUUUUCUGAUUUUCUACCCUCCAGUGAGUUAUCUAUGCACAGACUUGUCUUGCCAGCCAGAUUGCAGGCUCGUUAUGCGAAGACUGUUUUAUUCAUCUCUAUGUCUACAGUACUUGAUCCAUAGGAAGUAUCCAUAAAUAUAUUGAGUCCGCUGAAGUCCCCGCCAGCCCACCUGUAGACAGCUAAAUAUGUACCUUAUACAGAAUCAGAUUUCCUGUAACCUCAACCUUACACAGCUAAAAAUCUGAAAUCAUAUUUUUAAAAAUAUGCAAGCACUAGAAAUAAAAGCUUCUGCACUAGAGACAUGCUCUAUGAUUUUCAUACCACCCUGGGCUUUUAUUCACAAUCUAUACUUAUUUAGUUUAAUGCUUUAUAAGAUUGUUUAAUUGCUGUUCUAGUUUCCAGUAUAUAAACAAACCAAACCCAGUGUAGAAAUACAAGAGUAUAUGUCCUGUGAUGGCCAAGAAGAUGGGCUGACAAUUUUCAUCAGAUGAAGAUAAAAAUCCUCCCCCCCCCCCCGAAAAAAAGAGAAAACUAAUUUUGGCACAGAUUAGUAACAUGUAUUACUAAUAAUGACUCACCAUAAAGAAAGGUUGCUUUAGUUCCUCUGCCCUCCUCUUUAGAAGGCAGUAUAUUCUGUAAAAUACUUCAAUAAGAUAUUCUGUUCAAGAUGAUUGACACAAAGUUUUAUCAUAUAAAAAAACUAAAGUUUAGGUACUUUAUUAAUUUACCUUAUAUGGG